rnacentral:rRNA from 1 species
UACGUAGGGGGCAAGCGUUGUCCGGAAUCAUUGGGCGUAAAGAGCGUGUAGGCGGCCAUACAGGUCAGCUGUGAAAACUCGAGGCUCAACCUCGAGACGUCGGUUGAAACCGUUUGGCUGAGAGUCCGGAAGAGGAAAGUGGAAUUCCUGGUGUAGCGGUGAAAUGCGCAGAUAUCAGGAAGAACACCAAUGGCGAAAGCAGCUUUCUGGGACGGUACUGACGCUGAGACGCGAAAGCGUGGGGAGCGAACAGG